AUUAAAGAUUUCAAUUAAUUAAUUGCCAAACCAAACCUACAAUACUCUCUCUCUCUCUCUCUCUCUCUCUCUCUCUCUCUCUCUCUCUCUCUCUCUCUCUCUCUCUCUCUCUCUUCCAUCCUCCCACCCAUGUAGACACCCGAUCUACCCGAUUGCUUCAGCUGAUCCAGCCAUCGAGUUCGAUGUGCUCCCCUGCGCCUUAUGCUGAACUGCGGAUCGCUGUCAAACACCAUCUUGGUGGGGCAUGAGUCCGGCAUCCUCAUAACAUGUCCCAGCCAUUGUAUCCUGCCAGCCUUUGUCACCGUCAGGAUGCUCGGUUCGCUGUACAUGCUCGAACACACCACCAAAGAUGGCCCGGAUGCUGCGUCGCUCAAACACGCUCAGAGUGUUUGCAUCCUCCGUUCGAAUAGUCCAAGACUGGUGUCCAUAGAGGACCACCCGGCAAAUAAAUGUGCGAAAUAUUUCAGAUUUCGUGCUGGAUCUCAGCAGACAGUGAAGGCCAUAGUAUGCUCGAUUCCUGGUGCCGUUGUCCAAAGUAUCGACCUUCCAAGAUAGCAUAACACUUCUAUCUUCUAGCAGAACCUCGAGAUUGUCGCCGUCAACUAAUACACUGCUUCACAGAUGAUCUGAGUCUCCGGCAAGCAGAAAUCGUAGAAACCCCUAAGAGAAUCGUGCCACAGAUGUCGUUGUCUAGCCCCGCGCUUCGAAUGACACCUUCCAGGGCAAUUUUAAAAAGCAGACAGGAGAAUCCGUCACCUUGCCUCAGACCCCUGCCUACAACACACUUGUACACCAUAUAUACGAAAUAUAUAGCCAUGAGAAACUCCUCGAACUAAUGAUCAUGCUCAUGACCCUUCACAUAACACGUUCACUCUAUUGAAGGGAAAAAUGAAGUUUUCGUUGGAAUCGUUUCCGGAUAGCUCCAAAGUUUUUUGGUAUCGAUCCCAGAUAGUACGUUCGGAAGCGUUUCCGCAAUCGGUUUCGGAAUUGGAUCCGGAAUCGGCUUCGGAAUUGGCUUCGGAAUCGGCUCCGGAAUCGGCUUCGGAAUUGGCUUCGGAAUCGGCUCCGGAAUCGGCUCCGAAAUCGGCUCAGGAAUCGACUCAGGAAUUGGCUCCGGAAUCAGAAUUGGUUUCAUUAUCGGAAACGGGUCCGGAAUCGAAAUCGGCUCCGGAAUAGAAAUCGAUCCGCAAUAAGAAUCAGUUUCGGCUUCGAAAUCAGAAUUGGAUUUCAAAUUGGGUCCUGAAUCGAAAUCGGCUCUGGAAUCCUAAUAGGUUCAGAAAUCAGAAUCUGAUUCGAAAUCGGAGUCAGUUUCGGCAGCUCCAUAAGAAUAUAAGUUUGCGUCUAAUGAUGUAUUAAAGGCCGCAAAGAAUCCAAAUUUAUUUGUAAACGAUCCAUUCUCAUGGAGAUCCCAUGGAGACAGAUUUCGCUUCUGAAACUUCCUAUUUCAAUUCAAGAGCUGAUUCCCAUUCCUGACCUAAUUCCAAUACUGGUGUCAAUUCUGAUUCCCUUUCCGGAGCAAAUUGCGAUUCCCAGGUCGAUUCCAAUUCUGAUUCCAGCAUCGGAAUCAGCUCCGGAAUUGAUUCCGAACACGGAAUCAGAUUCGGAUAGGUCCGAUUCCAAGCUCCUACCACUAGUUCACUCAAGUGUUAGUCAGUUUAAAAGCAAACCAUUAAAAAACAAACAACCAUUAAAUUCCGUUCAGUAGCCCGUCCAGUCCGUGUUUUCUAGUAUUUGAUCUAGCAUCGUUACAGAUUUUCCAGCUUUAGUACCUUCGUAGACUUCGCCUACCGUCACCUGAUACAUGCUGCUUUCCAGCGUUCAUUUUCGUUGCUUGCACAAAUUAUUAAGAAAGAAAAAAAACUCGCUGUUCUGUAUUUGCAAUACAUUAUAUAUUUUGUAUUAUUACAAAAUCGGGCAGUUUACAAUGUUUCAGAUUUUAUCCUUCUUUUUUCUUAGUCUUGUUCAGUGCUGUGUUUUCAGUUCGCUAGGCAAGAGAUUUAAAAGAGACCUCUCCGAGACCUUAUGAUUAAAAAAAAAAAUAAACAAAAAACAAAAAGUCAUGAAUGUAACAAUCAUUUCUGGGGUUGAUGUUGGCAAAUGAAAGAAACAGAUUUGUACCAAGAAAAAAAAGUUUACAUAUAAAAUUACUGAACUUGCUCAAAAGCUCGUUGUAAAACAAAUUAUAAAAGAAACACACAUUCGUACCAAACCAAAAACAAACACAGAAAAAAGAUGAAAAAAAAUCCUCACACGAUACAACACCCUCCUCUCCCUCCCCAAGGGACAAACUUUAUUAUGGCGCCUGCCGCUCUCCUAGCAUGCCUGCACAGUCUUACCGCUAAACCUCACUCGCGCGACUCACUUUCGUGUGGACGUUAAUUUCUUGUUCGACAACUGCAGCAGGGUACACCAUCCGGGCGUUACCCCUCUCCCGUUCCCUACCGUCCCCAUCACAUGUUUCCUCCCCAGUCCGCUAGCUAGUGUUGUGAUGGGGGCCCUCCUAACGAGCUGGUUCUCUUAUAAAAUAAUAAUAUAAUAGUAGCAGUAGUAGUAGUAGUAGUAGUAGUAAUAGUAGUAGUAAUAAUAAUAAUAGUUUGAACUUGUUUUGACAAUCGAAUCAAUGUGUUAUCGGUGGAUUAAAGCUCAGAAGUGAACCAAAAUAAAAAAUGAGGGGAUGUGGGAGGGGAUCUAUCCAUAAGCACUAAACAAAAUCAUACAAAUCAUACACAUAUACACACAUCGUGUGUUUCAAAAGGGUGCGCGUUUAGUACUAAACGUACCAGACAAACACAAAGACACGUGCAUUAGCAGCCAAUUGGCCACCAGUCGGGUUUCUUUUCUCUUCUCUGCUGCCUCUCCCUAACACGUGUUUUAGCCAGUUUAGACUAAAACCACCCCAAAAAAGUAUUGUUACAGUGUUGUUAAUAGUUUGUUAACAUAAUGAGCGUAAUGGCGUGACUUGCAGCAGAAAAGCUGUGUGCUGUGGCAAACACAGAGGUACUUGUUGAAAAGAUGUGCUCUGGAUCACGCCUUCAAGCGGGGAGGGCUAAAAACAAAACAAAAAAACAGAUUUUGCAAACGGCGAAAGAUUUUCCUCCCGCGUAUGCUAGGAUGGUUAUACUUUUAAUGUUUGUAAAAAAAAAUACAAGAACUGUCAGGAAGCUUCGCUUAAAUAUCCGUUUGCUACAAUUGUACCACCAUUAUUACGUCGUUUGGAUGUAUGGGUGUAUGCGUGUGUAUGUGUGUUUAUAAAAGGUUGCAUUUUUAAGGUAGACAUUAACAUAAUCUGAUAUGCGCUAUCAUGCGGUGCACACGUGGUCGUCAUCAUUUCCCUCCCCUCACUGUUCACAUCAAAUGUACCGCUACACACACA